rnacentral:ncRNA from 1 species
CGUCGCGAGGCGGAGUCUGAAGGAAGCCGGAGGCAAACCCCUGGCCUGACGGACAGGAACCGCAUCAGGCGGUCGUGGCGGGUGAGGCUGCAGAACAAGCCGAAGCCCGAUAGCUGCGCGGAGGCCACGGGCGUAAAUGCGGCAGGUAUGUGGGGGGAAAGGUG